UUUCCGGUUGAUCCCGCCGGACCCCACUGCUAUCGGGAUAGGACUAAGACAUGCUAGUCGUGCGCUUCCUAGCCACGAAGGGAGCGCGGCGCACAGCUCAGUAGCACGUGGCUAACCUGCCCUUGGGACGGGAACAACCCCGGGAAACUGGGGCUAAUUCCCGAUAGGUGAAGAACUCUGGAAUGAGUCUUUGCCGAAAGGGCGUUUACGUCAUGCUCGUAGGCGCUGCCCAAGGAUGGGGCCGCGGCCGAUCAGGUUGUUGGUGAGGUAACGGCUCACCAAGCCUAUAACCGGUGCGGGCCGUGAGAGCGGGAGCCCGGAGAUGGGCACUGAGACAAGGGCCCAGGCCCUACGGGGCGCAGCAGUCGCGAAACCUUUGCAAUACACGAAAGUGUGACAGGGUUAUCCCGAGUGCCGUCCGCUGAGGAUGGCUUUUACCCAGUCUAGCAAGCUGGGGGAAUAAGGAGAGGGCAAGUCUGGUGUCAGCCGCCGCGGUAAUACCAGCUCUCCGAGUGGUGGGGACGUUUAUUGGGCCUAAAGCAUCCGUAGCUGGCCGUUCAAGUCCCCUGUUAAACCCAGCGAUUUAAUCGUUGGUCUGCGGGGGAUACUGUUCGGCUAGGGGGCGGGAGAGGCAGACGGUAUUUCCGGGGUAGGGGUGAAAUCCUAUAAUCCCGGGAAGACCACCAGUGGCGAAGGCUGUCUGCUAGAACGCGCCCGACGGUGAGGGAUGAAAGCUGGGGGAGCGAACCGGAUUAGAUACCCGGGUAGUCCCAGCUGUAAACUAUGCAGGCUAGGUGUUUGGGCGGCCACGUGCCGCUCUAGUGCCGCAGGGAAGCUGUUAAGCCUGCCGCCUGGGGAGUACGGCCGCAAGGCUGAAACUUAAAGGAAUUGGCGGGGGAGCACCACAAGGGGUGAAGCUUGCGGUUUAAUUGGAGUCAACGCCGGA
rnacentral:rRNA from 1 species